CCUACGGGAGGCAGCAGUGAGGAAUAUUGGUCAAUGGGCGGAAGCCUGAACCAGCCAAGUAGCGUGCGGGAUGAAGGCCCUACGGGUCGUAAACCGCUUUUGCACGGGGAUAACACCCUCCACUUGUGGAGGUCUGCAGGUACCGUGCGAAUAAGGGCCGGCUAAUUCCGUGCCAGCAGCCGCGGUAAUACGGAGGGCCCGAGCGUUAUCAGGUGUCAUUGGGCUUAAAGGGAGCGUCAGCGGGCGUGCAAGUCAGCUGUACAAUCGCGCGGCUCAACCGCGCCCCGCAGUUGAAACUGGACGCCUUGAGUACACAACAGGCAAGCGGAAUUCGGGGUGUAGCGGUGAAAUGCAUAGAUAUCACGAG
rnacentral:rRNA from 1 species